AACAAACAGAAGCAGAAGUUGCAGAUUGUAACGUGAGGUCUCCCUGCCAGAGAGAAUUAGCCCGGAGUGGGGGUUGGAUGAAGGGGUGGAAACUGCGCCGCAUGACACAUUAGCCCGUCUCUAUCAAAAAAAAUAUACACUGAAAGAUAUGAGGCAAAAUGUCAAAGUGCGUGCGAUUUCCUUUACUGCAGACUCACGUAAUGGGUCAGUUGUCUGGGGACACAGACGAGUCCUGCCUCUUCCUUAUUGGCCAGAGUGCUCUACCGAGGGACAGAGGAUGAUGGAAAGAAGAAGCAGGUGUGUGCUUGGUGUUAUUGCACAGCGGGUUAAGGGCAGGUGUGAGUCUGCCAGGCUCGGUGGCACAGCUGGGCAGUGUAAGCCCUGAUGACUGGCUCAUCACUCCCUCCCAUGGCUAACCCUCUGUCUCACAGAGUCUGAAACAGCUGGUUCCCACUGAGCCUAGCCCUGACCAGGUCAAACCUUGCACCUUCCAAACUGGGCCAUGGACAUGGAGUAAAACACAUUCAGGGUGCCCUGCAGUUUCUGGCGCACACAUUUACCUUUGGGGCUAAAUCGUUAAAAUUUAAAGCCUGUAUGACGUCAACGGCGGACCCAUUUGUUAUGCUUAGACACAACUACAUGUAAGAUGCAUGAUAUUACAUGAAGUUGUGUCUGAGCAGAAGGAACUUCAGUUCUUGACUUCAUAGACGCAUAGAAAAAAGCAACCGUUCAUCCAGAAAUUAGAUUUUAGUUUUUUUAAAUAAUUAAUUCUACAAUUAUUUAUUUAUUUUUGUUUUUCUGCCAACAUUCAACACUAUUUUCUGCACAUUUAAUGUUAGUAUUAUAUUAGAGAAUAUACCCUAGUAAUUAGUAUUGUAUUAUAUUACAUUUUAUGGAUUACAUUCACUUUUAUAGAAAGGUUUUUUUUCUUUUUGCAACAACC
rnacentral:lncRNA from 1 species